AACCCAGGUCUGCUGACUCCUAGUCCAGUGCUUGUGAUGGCUGGUGGGCCCUGAACUAGGGGUCUGGAGGCCUGGGUUUG
ensembl:miRNA MIR345 microRNA 345